AAAAAUAAUCUCGCUGACUGAUGCUGUUCGUAGAAAAAAACAUAAGAGUUUGGACUAAAUGAAAGGUCAGUCUCAGCCAUCUUCUCGUCAUCAUCUCCAUCUUCUCAUUCUCUGUCUCUCGUUCCACUUUCGGUAAAACACCAGAAAACCCAUUUCUACGAGCUAAGCUAUGAUGAGGCGCUAUACUUCAAAGUUUAUUAAUUGGCACUUGGGUUUGAGGAAUCUCAGUUUCUCCAUGGUUGGCUGUGAGGCUGAAUCCUAUUAUGCAUCCAGAAACAGCAAAUGCCAAGGUUUUUUUAGCGGCCAUCUUAAUGGCUCCAUGCCAAAGGCAUAUGCAACUUACUGUGCUAAGUUGCCAGAAGAUCCACAGAGCACUAAUCUCGCUUCUGACAUGUUAAUUGAUUCAUUUGGGAGGAUGCACACUUACUUGAGGAUCUCCUUGACAGAACGUUGCAAUCUACGUUGUCAGUACUGUAUGCCAGCUGAGGGUGUGGAGCUCACUCGUAGUCCUCAAUUGCUCUCGCAGGAUGAGAUUGUUCAUUUGGCAAAUCUCUUUGUGAGCUCUGGAGUAGAUAAAAUUCGUUUGACUGGUGGCGAGCCAACCAUUAGAAAAGAUAUUGAAGACAUAUGCUUACAGCUGUCUAACUUGAAAGGACUAAAGACCUUGGCCAUGACAACCAAUGGAAUCACUCUUGCGAGAAAACUUCCAAAGCUGAAAGAAUGUGGACUUACUUCUCUAAAUAUCAGCUUAGACACAUUAGUCCCGGCAAAAUUUGAAUUUUUGACUAGGCGGAAAGGGCAUGAAAGAGUUAUGGAUUCAAUUAAUGCUGCUAUUGACUGUGGGUACAAUCCAGUAAAAGUGAAUUGUGUGGUGAUGCGCGGGUUUAAUGAUGAUGAGAUUUGUGAUUUUGUGGAGUUGACACAUAACAAACCAAUUAAUGUUCGGUUCAUUGAGUUCAUGCCUUUUGAUGGAAAUGUUUGGAAUGUCAAGAAACUAGUUCCUUACUCGGAAAUGCUGGAUAGAGUGGGAAAACAGUUUCCUAGCCUAAAGAGGCUGCAGGAUCACCCUGCUGAUACGGCCAAGAACUUCAGGAUAGAUGGGCAUCUUGGUAUGGUUUCUUUUAUCACCUCAAUGACUGAGCAUUUCUGUGCUGGUUGCAAUAGAUUGCGACUUUUAGCUGAUGGAAACUUUAAAGUAUGCCUCUUUGGUCCUUCAGAGGUUAGCCUAAGAGAUCCCCUUCGCGAAGGUGCUGAAGAACACGAGCUGAGGGAAAUAAUUGGGGCGGCGGUCAAGAGGAAAAAAGCUUCACAUGCUGGAAUGUUUGACAUUGCAAAAACAGCGAAUAGACCAAUGAUACAUAUAGGAGGCUAAGGCUUGAAUAUUAGGUUUGGGUAUAACCUUGUGAGGGAGGUGAAUAGGUGCUCUCACAAAUGCAAAUACUCACAACUCAAAAACUACUUACAGCUUCGAAUAGGAUUUCACCAUGACAGUGUUCUUUCAACUAGUUGGAAAACUUUUACGAAAAUCUUAGCCAGCUCACUUGAGCUUUUGCAACUCUGUAACUUCCCUUGGGUUUUUACCACCUUCAGAGUUGACAAGGUUUGAUGAGGUGAUGCAGUGCGGAAACAACUCUUUUGAUUCUCUCGUUCAGUUGAUCUCACUGCAUUGAGUUGAAAAAAACAGUGCUGAUUACUUCUCAUGUGCUAUCACAAGCCCCAACCCGAAAUCAAUGGGCAAGGCGUGAUAAGAAUUCAUCAUUUAGACCUCAGUAGGAAUAUUCGGAAGUUAUACCCUAGUGUUGUGACAAAUAUGUCUUCAAGUUCUUACCAGUCUUGUGCCUUUCAUCAUGAUUAGCUUUACUUUAAAUGAAGUGCAAGCCCUGAUUCAGUGAGCAAGCCAUGGAUAUUAUUUUACGUAUACAGAGAACAAUAUAGAUGCAAUGUCAUAUUGGGACCACAAUGUAACAAAAACAGAAAGACUUUGUUAUUUAAUCAAGCAUGAUAUAAGCCAUUGAUUCUA